rnacentral:rRNA from 1 species
UACGUAGGGUGCAAGCGUUAAUCGGAAUUACUGGGCGUAAAGCGUGCGCAGGCGGUUGUGCAAGACAGAUGUGAAAUCCCCGGGCUCAACCUGGGAACUGCAUUGGUGACUGGCAGGCUUUGAGUGUGGCAGAGGGAGGUAGAAUUCCACGUGUAGCAGUGAAAUGCGUAGAGAUGUGGAGGAAUACCGAUGGCGAAGGCAGCCUCCUGGGCCAACACUGACGCUCAUGCACGAAAGCGUGGGGAGCAAACAGG